rnacentral:rRNA from 1 species
CNAGNGGCGGACGGGUGAGUAAUGCCUAGGAAAUUGCCUUGAUGUGGGGGAUAACCAUUGGAAACGAUGGCUAAUACCGCAUAAUGCCUACGGGCCAAAGAGGGGGAUCUUCGGACCUCUCGCGUCAAGAUAUGCCUAGGUGGGAUUAGCUAGUUGGUGAGGUAAUGGCUCACCAAGGCGACGAUCCCUAGCUGGUCUGAGAGGAUGAUCAGCCACACUGGAACUGAGACACGGUCCAGACUCCUACGGGAGGCAGCAGUGGGGAAUAUUGCACAAUGGGCGAAAGCCUGAUGCAGCCAUGCCGCGUGUAUGAAGAAGGCCUUCGGGUUGUAAAGUACUUUCAGUUGUGAGGAAGGGUGUGUAGUUAAUAGCUGCGCAUCUUGACGUUAGCAACAGAAGAAGCACCGGCUAACUCCGUGCCAGCAGCCGCGGUAAUACGGAGGGUGCGAGCGUUAAUCGGAAUUACUGGGCGUAAAGCGCAUGCAGGUGGUUCAUUAAGUCAGAUGUGAAAGCCCGGGGCUCAACCUCGGAACUGCAUUUGAAACUGGUGAACUAGAGUGCUGUAGAGGGGGGUAGAAUUUCAGGUGUAGCGGUGAAAUGCGUAGAGAUCUGAAGGAAUACCAGUGGCGAANGCGGCCCC